CAGCUCAAAAGAAAAAAAAAAAAUGAGUAAAUUGGCCUGGAGUCACCUAUUGCUCCAGUAGCAAGUUCCUGUGAAAUGGAAAUUCAGGAACCCACCCUUGUUCUGGGCCAAUCAGGAAGAGCCUGAGGGGAGGAGCCGCUGAGGGCAGGGCCUCUCCCUGCCCCACCUUCCUCUCUCUGGCAAGCCUGCAGGGCAAGUGGCUGAGAAUCAGCCAGAGGGAGGAAAGUGAGGAGGGGUGGACCAGGCCUGGGAGGGUCCUGGGUGGGGGCGCUAAGGAGAGGAGGUGCAGUACAGCCAUGGGGCUCUGGGUGAGAAUUGCAGGGAAGGAUGGGAGGGAGGAAUGGGGACUGGGGUGGGGGCGUGAGGCAGACAGUUCUCCUUUGGGUGACUGUGCUGAGGACAGGGUGGGAGAUGGAGAGCCGGAUGUUCUGGCUUUGCUGCUGUGCAGGACUCAUUCGAGCCCCAGGAGGGUGAGGAGUCCGAGGGCUGCUCCAAUUCGCUGAAGUUUGUCUGUGCACUAGCACCCUGGAAUGAGCAGUCUCCAGGCCAUGAAGACCUUGUCCCUGGUCCUGCUGGUGGCCCUGCUGAGCACGGAGAGAGCUCAGGGUCUGCGCUGCUACGGAUGGUUGGCGGUCUUGGAAGGGGCCUCCUG
rnacentral:lncRNA from 1 species